GGUGAACGCUGGCGGCGUGCCUAACACAUGCAAGUCGAGCGGUGCAGUUUGAAGCUUCGGUGGAAAGCUGCAUAGCGGCGGACGGGUGAGGAAAACGUAGGAACGUGCCCCUUGGAGUUGGAUAGCCACGGGAAACUGUGGGUAAACCGACAUAGACUCGAGAGAGUAAAGGCCGAAAGGCGCCAAGGGAGCGGCCUGCGGCCCAUCAGGUAGUUGGUAGUGUAAAGGACUACCAAGCCGACGACGGGUAGCCGGUCUGAGAGGAUGGCCGGCCACAAGGGCACUGAGAGACGGGCCCUACUCCUACGGGAGGCAGCAGUGGGGGAUUUUGGACAAUGGGCGAAAGCCUGAUCCAGCGACGCCGCGUGGAGGACGAAAGCCCCUUCGGGGUCGUAAACUCCUUUUCUCAGGGAAAAAGGAUGAUGGUACCUGAGGAAUAAGCCCGGCUAACUACGUG
rnacentral:rRNA from 1 species